rnacentral:rRNA from 1 species
ACUCAAAUGAAUUGACGGGGAGGCGCACAAGCAGUGGAGCAUGUGGUUUAAUUCGAUACGAAGCGAAAAACCUCACCAGGGUUUGACAUGUAGAUGCAAGCGCACGGAAACGUGUGACCUUCGAGGGUUCUACGCAGGUGAUGCAUGGCUGUCGUCAGUUCGUGGCGUGAGCUGUACCGUUAAGUCGGGAAACGAACGCAACCCGCACCGUAUGUUAAAUAAUUCAUGCGGAACUGCCCCGUAAGGGGAGGAAGGCGCGGAUGAUGUCAAGUCUGCACGUCCCUUAUACCCUGGGCUACACACAUCCUACAAUGGCUAAAACAAUGAGCCGCAAGUCGGUAACGAUAAGCAAAUCUCUUAAAAUUAGCCUCAGUUCAGAUUGGGGUCUGCAAUUCGACCCCAUGAAGCCGGAAUUGCUAGUAAUCGCAAAUCAGCAGGUUGCGGUGAAUACGUUCUCGCCUCUUGUACACACCGCCCGU